GUUUGAUUCGGAUGCAUAUACUUUUAAUUACUGUUGUUCAGUUAUAGUCGUUUGUUGAUGUCGUUUUUGUUUUAUAUAUAUAUAUGAAAUAGACUGUAAGUUUUCCUGUUUUAUUGGUUAUAAACUUGUCAUUGUUGGGGCUCUUAAUUGCUUGCUGUUCGGUGUGAGCAAAGCCUCAAUUUUUAAAUAAAAUUAUAAUCAAAAUCCCAAAUAUGAAGCAGAAUAUAGUGUAUGAUUAGUAUUUUUGAUCUAAAGUUUAUUUGGACUAAAUGAAAAGCAAACAGUCAAUGAAGUGUAGCUUUUUGAGUGAUAUGGCAUCAAUAAUCUCUGUGUUGUUUGUUCUUGGAUCAGAAUACAAACAAGUCCAGGUAUGAACUUUUUUAUUGGAGCGUCAAGGGUGAGUCUUUUGUAGACGAAACACUUCUGGCGUACAAAAUGUUAAUCCUGGUAUCAUAAGCAAAGGCCCAAAUUAAACGCCUGUCAUUCAAAUAUAAAAUGCCCCAGCAUAUUAAUCAAAUUAAAACAAUAAAAAGAGUAUGUCCUGUGGCAUUCCUAGUUGAGUCUUCUCCAUGAC
rnacentral:lncRNA from 1 species